GUGGGGAAUAUUGGACAAUGGGCGAAAGCCUGAUCCAGCCAUGCCGCGUGUGUGAAGAAGGUCUUCGGAUUGUAAAGCACUUUAAGUUGGGAGGAAGGGCAGUAAGUUAAUACCUUGCUGUUUUGACGUUACCGACAGAAUAAGCACCGGCUAACUUCGUGCCAGCAGCCGCGGUAAUACGAAGGGUGCAAGCGUUAAUCGGAAUUACUGGGCGUAAAGCGCGCGUAGGCGGUGUUGUAAGUUGGAGGUGAAAUCCCCGGGCUCAACCUGGGAACUGCCUCCAAAACUGCAUGACUAGAGUACGGUAGAGGGUAGUGGAAUUUCCUGUGUAGCGGUGAAAUGCGUAGAUAUAGGAAGGAACACCAGUGGCGAAGGCGACUACCUGGACUGAUACUGACACUGAGGUGCGAAAGCGUGGGGAGCAAACAGGAUUAGAAACCCCAGUAGUCC
rnacentral:rRNA from 1 species